GGGAGGUUAGGGUUUGACACGAAAUUUCGCUAACGAACAGAAUGGAAGCACUGGUUUGCAGGAAGCUCGGAGAUCCAACAACAUCAGCGCUCAGCGAUGAGAAUUCUCCAGUAGUGCUGAGUAAAAACCAUCCGAUUCCGCCGUUGAAUUCUCCGACGUCGGUCAGAGUUCAGAUUAAAGCUACAAGUUUGAAUUACGCCAAUUACCUUCAGAUUCUUGGAAAAUACCAGGAGAAACUUCCUCUUCCUUUCGUCCCUGGUUCUGAUUACUCUGGAGUCGUCGUUGCUGUUGG
rnacentral:misc_RNA from 1 species